CAGACAGUACCGAUGAAGGACGUUUGAGGCUGCGAUAUGCCUCGGGGAGCCGCCAGCAGGGCUUUGAUCCGAGGAUUUCCGAAUGGGGGAACCCGCCGGCCGUCAUGGGCCGGCACCGCGUUCGCGCGGGGGGUACGCAGGGAAGUGAAACAUCUCAGUACCUGCAGGAAAGGAUGUUCCGUGAGUAGUGGCGAGCGAAAGCGGAUCAGGCCAAACCGCGCGCGUGUGACAGGCGCCAGCCGUUGCGCGCGUGGUGUUGAGGGAGCGUGUGUCCGGGUUCUGGCGGGCCCCGGCCGGAGUGAUAAAACGGCGUGUGAGGCGAACCGGAUUGAAUGCCGGGCCGCAGAGGGUGAUGGCCCCGUAGCCGAACGCGCGUCGUCUCCGGAUCGUGUCUCCCAAGUAGCGCGGGACUCGUGGAAUCCCGUGUGAAUCCGCCCCGACCGUGGGGUAAGCCUAGAUAUACCUGUCUG
rnacentral:rRNA from 1 species